rnacentral:tRNA from 1 species
GGGCCCGUAGCCUAGCCUGGUGGAGCGCCCGGCUGAUAACCGGGAGGUCAGGAGUCCGAAUCUCCUCGGGCCCA